AAAUUGAAUUGAAUUGAAUUCUUUAUUGAGACUUUUUUCUUUUUUUUUUAACAACAUUCGAAAGGUUAAUAUUAACCAUAUGAUAAUUAACAGAUGAUUCUUAGAACUAUAUCCGUCUUGUUCUAGUACACGGUAAUUGAAUAAGCAACUUGCUAAAAAUAUAAUUGACGAUUAUUCUAAAGUAUAUGUAUAGUGAGUAUUUUCAAUGCUUGCUCACGGCAUUUAAGUUAACAAACAGAGCCAAAGUCUGUACAAACAAAAACAUAACAUCAAAUAAAUAACACUUAAAACUAUAUAACAAAACGAAAUGUCAAAAGCAUUCUCGGAAUGACAAUAAUGGGUGAAAAACAUGAAGUAAACAUUCGCACCGAUAAUAAACAAGUAUCACAGUCGGGAUUCAGCUAGCCCCUAUGGGAGCCUGGUGCGGUUCUGAGGAAAAAUUGCGAGUGAGAGAUGGCAUCGUGGUCAAGGUUAACAAUGCCAAUGGGAGACAGAUAAGUGAUUAUCAUGGAACUCAAGGUGCUCUACAAAACGUUUUUGUAAUGUUAGUGCGUAAGUACACAGCGGAGUUAUAUCCGAGUUUUCGUAGAUAUAUGAGUUGGAGAACCGUCUAGUUGGGUUCCGGAAAUUCUUACCGAGACAUUUUCUCAAUAUGGACCUCUCAAAGAUUUCCAGAUCUUUCGCUACCACAGGAGAGAUGGUGAACCAAAUGGGGAAAGCAUAUAUAUGCUCAAAAAUUUUACCAACAUUCGAUAAUAAUGAGAUGGGUCUGAAUUCCUCAAUCCGAGUGCUGUUGUUUUUCUUUUCAAUUGGAAUGAUUUUAGAGGUUUUCCACGCUUUAGGAAAGUAGCAAUUGUUCAGACAAUUGUUAAACAUACAUGACAAGAGCCUCAAAGAGCUGUCUGGUAAUUUUUUUAUUAAAAAGUUUGAAGGAUUUGUGAAAUGAUAACUGUCGUCGUUUCGAAUAGAGCCGAAGGAAAUAUCAAACGAAUAAAUAUGUCGGGGGCAAUCCGCAAUGUAUGAUGAAACUCGCUCAGAGAGGUCGGAAACGGGACACACAGAUUUCUGUUUUCAGGAGGUGUAAUAGAGUUCAUGGCAAUAUCUAUGUCACGCCUAAAGUUGUUCCAGUUCGUCUUUUUAUAUGAGGGGAAAUGGUCCGAGAAAGUUGGCAAACUAGUAAUCCUAAAGUUUGGAACCUCUCUGUUUACAAAAUGUGCACUCAGAAGAAAGUGGUCAGAAACGAGUCUCCAUUGGGG
rnacentral:lncRNA from 1 species